UACGUAGGGUGCGAGCGUUGUCCGGAAUUAUUGGGCGUAAAGAGCUUGUAGGCGGUUUGUCGCGUCUGCUGUGAAAUUUCGGGGCUCAACCCCGAACUUGCAGUGGGUACGGGCAGACUAGAGUGUGGUAGGGGAGACUGGAAUUCCUGGUGUAGCGGUGAAAUGCGCAGAUAUCAGGAGGAACACCGAUGGCGAAGGCAGUGUUCUGGGUGACAGCUGACGCUCAGGUGCGAAAGCUAGGGGAGCGAACGGG
rnacentral:rRNA from 1 species